CCCUGGCUCAGGACGAACGCUGGCGGCGUGCCUAAUACAUGCAAGUCGAGCGGAUUUAUCCUUCGGGAUAAGUUAGCGGCGGACGGGUGAGUAACACGUAGGUAACCUGCCUAUAAGAUCGGGAUAACUAUCGGAAACGAUAGCUAAGACCGGAUAAUUGGUUUUCUCGCAUGAGAGAAUUAUGAAACACGGAGCAAUCUGUGGCUUAUAGAUGGGCCUGCGGCGCAUUAGCUAGUUGGUAGGGUAACGGCCUACCAAGGCGACGAUGCGUAGCCGACCUGAGAGGGUGAACGGCCACACUGGGACUGAGACACGGCCCAGACUCCUACGGGAGGCAGCAGUAGGGAAUCUUCCGCAAUGGACGCAAGUCUGACGGAGCAACGCCGCGUGAGUGAUGAAGGUUUUCGGAUCGUAAAGCUCUGUUGCCCUAGACGAACAGCAAGAGGAGUAACUGCCUUUUGUGUGACGGUAUAGGAGAAGAAAGCCCCGGCUAACUA
rnacentral:rRNA from 1 species